UACGUAGGGGGCAAGCGUUAUCCGGAUUUACUGGGUGUAAAGGGAGCGUAGACGGCAAAGCAAGUCCGGAGUGAAAGCCCGGGGCCCAACCCCGGGACUGCUCUGGGAACUGUGCGGCUAGAGUACUGGAGGGGCAGGCGGAAUUCCUAGUGUAGCGGUGAAAUGCGUAGAUAUUAGGAGGAACACCAGUGGCGAAGGCGGCCUGCUGGACAGUAACUGACGUUGAGGCUCGAAGGCGUGGGGAGCAAACAGG
rnacentral:rRNA from 1 species